UGUUGAAAAUGUGGACAUCAGAAGUUUCGCUGUGAAAAUAUUUUUUUUCUCCACAUUUUCAAACUUUAAAACAGGUCAGUUUUGACCCACAGGACGACACGAGGGUUAAUAGUAGACAGGAUUGGAAAGAGUGUCAAAGCUAUGACAUUUAAUCUUUGAAACAACAGACAGACUGAGGAGGAUCCCUUAAAGGAGCAUCUGUAUUUUGUUCACCAACAAAAACAAGAAGUCCAGGAUCACUGUAGCACUGAUAAUUCAAUCGCAUGAUCUUUUAUUUAAGCCAUUCUGAAUUCAGCCAAAGGGCCAAACAUGUUUCAGUAUUCUCAACACCACACUGAAAAACAACAUUAAUUAUUAAGACACAGCGUCUCUGUAAUAACCAGGGGAACAGGCUAAUUAAGGCAAACGUUAAAACUUAACAUUAGCAAAUUAUCAUUGGAUUACAACCGCUGUUAACAUAAAACUCAGCAGUGAGAAAGUGGUUAAUAAUGAAUAAUUUAUGAAUUUUUUUAAAAAGAAUGCUACAGAAUCCCAAUAUUAAUCUGAAGCUACAAAGCUAAUAAAACUGUAAGGCGGUGAAUGUUUUCUUCAUACAGUUUGUUGUUAUAAAAUAAAUAGUCCCUGGUAAAUUUAUCAUGCUGUAGCUAAUUCAGGGUUCCCGCGGAUCCUUAAAAAGUCUUAAAAGGCAUUGAAUUCAUGAAUCUAAAAACAAGGCCUUAAUUGGCAUUAAAAUUUCUUAAAUUAAAUUUUCAAACGUCUUAAAAACAUUAACACGUGAUAAGUAUGAUUUUAUGAUUGUAAUUAGUCUCAAAUCUCAAAAUAAAUGGUAACAUUUAUUCAUUUAUUCAUUUAAAUAAUUUACAGAAUGACUCUCGUGGUAACGUCGCACAAUCACAAUAGCGGAACCAACAAAACAGUGAUGUGGUUGCAGCCGGGACUCUUAAGAGCAGACGCACGUCGUUCAUGUAGCAACUUUGGACCACAUGGGAAAGUGUAAAUUCAACGAAAAUUGGCUGUCCAACCAAGAUGUAUCUUCACGGCUGAAAGCGGUAGCAGGCAGUGUGUACGAGGUACUGUGGUCUCUGAACUCCGUGAUAAAACACCAGUCAUACCAGUCAAUGAGGGAGUUGGACACUUAUUCCGUGCUGUGUUCCCAGACUCUGUCCACUCGUUUGCAUGCGGUUCCGUCCAGACGGCCUGCAUCAGCAGGUUUGGAUUAGCCCCGUACAUUUCAGAGCAGCUGAUUGCGGAUGCUAACAAGGACGUGUUUGUUUUAAUGUUUGAUGAGCCUCAACCAGACCAUGAAAACAAAACAACUGGAUCUGCAUAUCCGCUAUUGGUGCGAAGAUCACGUCCAGUCAAGAUAUUCAGGGUCGCAGUUGAUGGGACAUGGAACAGCUGAGGAUUUACUGCGCCAUUUCAAAGAAGAUGCCAAGGACCUGGAUAGGCGUAAGCCGUUGUCCGUCUCCAUGGAUGGACCAAACAUUAAUUGGAAGUUCCUGGAGCUACUGCAGCAAGAACAUAUUGCAACUGAAGGAAUGUUGCCUGGAGAUAUGGUCAAAGAAAAAAAAACCUUUUCACUGGACCAAAAAGUCAUGUUUUAUGUUAAAAUAAACAUUUGGGUAAAAUUGUCCCUAACCUUA